rnacentral:rRNA from 1 species
AGAGUUUGAUCAUGGCUCAGGAUGAACGCUAGCUACAGGCUUAACACAUGCAAGUCGAGGGGCAGCAUGUUGGUUGCUUGCAACCAAUGAUGGCGACCGGCGCACGGGUGAGUAACGCGUAUCCAACCUACCCUUGUCCAUCGGAUAACCCGUCGAAAGGCGGCCUAACACGAUAUGCGGUUCACAGCAGGCAUCUAAAGGUGAACGAAAUGUGAAGGAGAAGGAUGGGGAUGCGUCUGAUUAGCUUGUUGGCGGGGUAAGGCCCACAAGGCUACGAUCAGUAGGGGUUCUGAGAGGAAGGUCCCCCACAUUGGAACUGAGACACGGUCCAAAACUCCUACGGGAGGCA